rnacentral:rRNA from 1 species
CAUAUCAAUAAGCGGAGGAAAAGAAACCAACAGGGAUUGCCCUAGUAACGGCGAGUGAAGCGGCAACAGCUCAAAUUUGAAAUCUGGCCUCGGCCCGAGUUGUAAUUUGUAGAGGAAGCUUUAGGCGCGGCACCUUCUGAGUCCCCUGGAACGGGGCGCCACAGAGGGUGAGAGCCCCGUAUAGUUGGAUGCCUAGCCUGUGUAAAGCUCCUUCGACGAGUCGAGUAGUUUGGGAAUGCUGCUCAAAAUGGGAGGUAAAUUUCUUCUAAAGCUAAAUACCGGCCAGAGACCGAUAGCGCACAAGUAGAGUGAUCGAAAGAUGAAAAGCACUUUGAAAAGAGGGUUAAAUAGCACGUGAAAUUGUUGAAAGGGAAGCGCUUGUGACCAGACUUGCGCCGGGCGGAUCAUCCGGUGUUCUCACCGGUGCACUCCGCCCGGCUCAGGCCAGCAUCGGUUCUCGCGGGGGGAUAAAGGCCCCGGGAACGUAGCUCCUCCGGGAGUGUUAUAGCCCGGGGCGUAAUGUCCUCGCGGGGACCGAGGACCGCGCAUCUGCAAGGAUG